rnacentral:lncRNA from 1 species
GCCCAUUGUUAAAUUCUUGAAUGAAAACAAUAUGAAAGGCUUCGUCAUUGAAGCAAGAAAACAAUACUGAAUUGAACUCCAUAAAAGGAGGAAAGCAAUACAAAGGAACCGGAAUGAGUUCCAUAUAAAAGACACUCCAUUGUAAGAGGAAGAUAACAUCCAUGGAAGGGAGGGAGAGGGAUUGGAAGAAGAAAUUCUCCAAUGAAUUACAAAGUGUAUACCAUCCUGUAUUUAUAGAAGAAAGACCAACUAACUACCUAACAACUAAUCUACUAACUAAACUAAACUAACUAACACAGCUGUGGACAACUAGAGACAGCUAGGAUCAUCCGUGUGAAGUCUGGAGAGUGAAUCUGAUCAAUUGGAAUUAAGAUCUCUGGGAUUAAGAAUCUGGAAGUUAAGUUGGAAGAAAUUUGGUGCAUAUUUGCUGGUUCUGAUACACCCCCCUCAAGAUGGACUUGGAAGAUCAAUUACUAUAGUCCAUCUUGAAGAUUAAAGAUGACAAGAAUUCUAAUAUAGAUCAAUUGGAAUAAGAUCCUGAAUUCAUAAUGCUGUUGCCAGCACUCCAGACCCAGAAAUAAUAAAGAAGAGCUUUGUUGUACAUUUUAUCAAACACCUUGUGUGUAGCUUCAGUUACUAAAGAGAAUAGUGAAAAAGGAUGUAGUAAAGACUCCACAAGAAAUGUCUUCGUUGAUGCAGCAGGACAACCGAACAAAGCGGCACAAAAGUUGAACAUAUUAAAACUGAGUUCUGUGACAGAAGUGAGGAGAAUUCCUCCAACGAUGGGAACAAGAGAAACACAAAAUCAGGGCACAAAACCAGGUAAUGUAGAUUGUUUUAUCUCCGACAAUGCCUGCAAGGAAUUCGCCAUGCUCUGACGAGCACUCGAUGAAGUGAAUACCCAAUUGCAGACCAAGUUCAGCCAGGAACUAAAAACUAAUGACUGGGAGUACUACAGAAAAGGGAUUGACUUUUGCUUGCUUGAUUCGUAUAACCAAUCAUAUGAUGAAGUCUUGAAGAUUGAAAAACAAAGAAAAGGGAAUUGAAUUCCUCCAGACCAACAGAGACUAAUUUCUGCUGGGUAACAACUUGAGAGUGGCCGGAUUUGCAGCCAUGGAUGGAAAUACAUCAGCAAAAUCUUGAAGAACUGGAAUGCAACCUGUACGUCCAGUUGUUUGCAAGAAUAAGAAUUGAAGAAUCUUUAGAAAAUGAAGAAUGAUUCCAGUAGAAAGCUAGAAAAUGAAAAACAGCAGCAAGAAGCUUAUCUUUGCUCUGAUACCAUGUUAAAUUCUUGAAUGAAAACAAUAUGAAAGGCUUCGUCAUUGAAGCAAGAAAACAAUACUGAAUUGAACUCCAUAAAAGGAGGAAAGAAAUACAAAGGAACCGGAAUGAGUUCCAUAUAAAAGACACUCCAUUGUAAGAGGAAGAUAACAUCCAUGGAAGGGAGGGAGAGGGAUUGGAAGAAGAAAUUCUCCAAUGAAUUACAAAGUGUAUACCAUCCUGUAUUUAUAGAAGAAAGACCAACUAACUACCUAACAACUAAUCUACUAACUAAACUAAACUAACUAACACAGCUGUGGACAACUAGAGACAGCUAGGAUCAUCCGUGUGAAGUCUGGAGAGUGAAUCUGAUCAACUGGAAUUAAGAUCUCUGGGAUUAAGAAUCUGGAAGUUGAGUUGGAAGAAAUUUGGUGCAUAUUUGCUGGUUCUGAU